AUCGACGGCCUGCAGCUCAGCACAGAGCGCACCUGGGCAGGAGGGAUGGUCGCCAGCAGAUCUAGGCCUUGCCGUCGAGAAGAUGAUUCGGGAGAUCAGGAUGUCCCUGUCUGAAAGAUCUCCCUCUGCUCAGGACAAUGUCAGUGUUGCCCCCGAUUCCUCAGGAGGGGAGCCUGUGGACAGAGCUGCAGCAGAGGAAGCUGCAUCUGGCACCGAGAGCUGCAGGAACGGUUCCCAGGAGCCCGAGGAGCCUGAUGCCAUCUGACCAACAUCUCCAGGAGGGCUGCCCUGCGUGGCAGGAGGAGACAGAGGAGAGCCCGUGACCAUCGGGCAGGUAGAAUUCCUCUGCUUGUAAAUAUGUUUAUAGAUUCCUAUGAUUUUACUUAUCAAAGGGUAUAGUUCUGUUUACAGAUUAGAGUGUUCUGUUUAUAUGUGCAUAUAUUGAUAGAUCUGUAGAGUUAAAUGGGGAUAUGUAUUCAGUUAGACAAGUGAUAUAUUUUAUUAUAAAUUUACCUUUAUAGAUUUUCAGAGUUUAAAUUUUUUUGUGUAGAGUCCAAAAAAAAAAUAUAGAUGAAGUUUCAUUUAUAAAUGAGUAUAGUUAUAGAGUAAGAAGGAUAUGAAUGUUUAGAUGAAUAGGUUGCGGUUUGCCUAGGCCUAGGC